UGAGCCGACAUGGUAUAUAAUGAUAGUUGGGCAAUGGCCGGUGAUGCUGCCGCAGCGUGAGGGUCAGUCCGCGUGGGCGGCUUGCGAUGCAGGCCUGGCGCGGGGCAUGGUGCUGCCAUGAUUGUGGGCUGGCAGGACUGUCGGUUGUUAAAGCUGUUAGCCUUUAUUGACGCACGCUGAAUGUUCUCCUCGGUUAAGACCGAAGUCGUUCACCUCGAUUUACAUCUAAGAUUAAGGAAGUCGGUCUGGUCCGCGAUUGAGGUGCAAUAUUUCCUCCAUCAUAACCAUUUC
rnacentral:lncRNA from 1 species